ACAAAUCAUUCUUUAUUUUCCCUUUUCUUUUCAAGAAACCCCAUUAAAGUUCCAAUCUUUAUUUGACAAUUCCUGUUGUUUGUUGCAAAUUAAUCAACUUUUUUUGCAUAUAAUUUGUGGGUUUGAUUGUAAAUUUUAAAUACAUUCAAUUCCCAUCUGGGGUUUGUUAAUUUUUGUCAGGGUAUAGUGGGUUUAGGUCAAGUUCAUCUUUUUUGUUGCCGAUGAAUGAUUCUUGAAAAGCUUAUCUGAUUAUUGUUGUUUGGAACCCUUUUAGCGACUGAUUAUGAGAGAAUUAAAGUGGGGUUACAGUUACUAAUUGGUUUUGAUUAUGGAUGAAAAGAGUGGAGAUGCAGGAGAUGAUCAAGGGUCUGGAUGGCUGCAAGUUAAAAAGAAGCAUAGAAGCAAUUCAAAGUUCUCUCUCCAGGGAUGGGUCGGAGGAUUAUCUAAGAAACAGAAUUCAAACGUCGUGAUCCACGAGGCUCCUCAGGUGACUUCUAACGUUAGCUCUAGUGAACCGAUUUCAACUAUUAAAGAUUCAAGUACACCCGAUUCUAAUAAUUCGGAAAAUACUAAUAACGUUCCUACUGACGAUAAGAAGGAUGUGAACUUCCUCGAUAAGCGUGUGGUUAGUCACGUCGAUGAUUCUAAAACUAACAAGGAUCAAGGGGUUACAGAAAGUGAUAAUCUUGAUGUUUUUCCAAAGAUUAAGUUUGGUAAUUUGGAUGACGAUGAUGCAAGAAUCGACAUAAAGUUCGGUAAUAUUGAGAACACGCUUAUUGAAAAUGAUCCGAUUGCUAUUGAGCCGAAAGAGAAGAAAAUUGUAUCGACCGUUGAAGAACAGAAUAAGUGUCAAGAAUUAGAAGAGGUGAAAGAGAUAUCGUCAGAAGAUAUCAAGGUUCAAAUCGUAAAUGAGGAAUUGGUUACUCAAAGUGACGAUGUUUGUCAAGAACGCACUCAAGACUUAAAAACCGAAAAUCUUGAAGCAAGCGGGCCAGAAAAUGUAGCGACAUGUCCGGAUUCAAGCUCUUUGCAAGAUGAAAAGGCGACAUCGGGAGUUCAGACUUCUUCGGUCCUCAAGGAGUUAUCGGGAGUUGAGAUCAUGAGUGAUAUCGAAGGUGGUGAGAGUAAAGAACGGUUUAGGCAACGUCUUUGGUGUUUUCUGUUCGAGAAUCUUAACCGGGCUGUUGAUGAGUUGUAUCUUUUAUGUGAACUCGAAUGUGAUAUAGAUCAAAUGAAAGAGGCGGUUCUUGUUCUUGAAGAAGCAGCGUCUGAUUUUAAAGAGUUGAACUGUAGAGUACAAGAGUUUGAGAAAGUCAAAAAGUCAACUGAUAAUCCACCGAUGACCAUGAAGUCCGAGCAGCGUAGGCCGCAUGCACUUUCAUGGGAGGUUCGCCGUAUGACUACUUCACCACACAGGGCAGAAAUACUUUCUUCGUCUCUCGAGGCUUUCAAGAAAAUUCAACAAGAACGAGCAGCCAUGAACGACAGUUCUCGAAAAACGGGCUUUACUGAUUCUUAUGGUCAUUCUAGAAGUGGCAGCAGUGUAAAUAAACAUACCUCUAGAACCGAUAGAACUAAUAGUGCUCAAGAACCAUCAACGGAUUCAAGAAAACGAAUUCUUCCCAAAGAAAACACAAGUAGGGGAAAAAAGAAUCUGGAGUCCGGAAAAAACAAGGAAACCGAAAAGACGGGUUUGAAAAAAGAUAGUUUUAGAUCCAUGGAUCAAUCGAAAAAAUCGACUUCUGGGUCCGACAGAGAGAAGGAAAAACGAAACAAUGUUAACGGAGCGUCUUAUAAGUCAAUGGAUGCAUGGAAGCAAAAAAGAAAUUGGGAGGACAUAUUAACGUCACCACAUUCUUCAUCGUCGCGUUUUUCACAUUCGCCAGGUAUGGGUAGAAAAAGCAUGGAACGGGCCCGUAUUCUCCACGAUAAGUUAAUGUCACCCGACAAGAAGAAAAAGACAUCACUUGAUUUAAAGAAAGAGGCAGAAGAAAAGCAUGCACGGGCUAUGCGAAUUAGAAAUGAGUUAGAGAACGAAAGGUUACAAAAGCUACAAAAAAGCACGAAAAAACUCGACCGUGUAAACGAAUGGCAAGCCGUACGUAGCACGAGGCUGCGUGAAGGAAUGUAUGCGCGACACCAACGUAGCGAGACCCGUCACGAAGCUUAUUUAGCCCAAGUUGCGAGACGGGCCGGUGAUGAAAGUACUAAAGUUAACGAAGUUCGUUUCAUUACUUCAUUAAAUGAAGAAAACAAGAAACUUAUGUUAUUACAAAAAUAUCAAGAUUCGGAAUUGAGGCGAGCCGAGAAGUUAAAAGAUAUGAAAUCGAAACAGAAAGAGGAUAUGGCAAGAGAAGAAGCGGUUUUGGAACGAAAGAAGCUUGUUGAAGCGGAAAAAAUGCAACGGCUUGCAGAAACGCAAAGAAAGAAGGAAGAAGCUUUAUUAAGAAGAGAAGAGGAAAGAAAAGCAUCGAGUGCGGCCCGUGAAGCAAAGGCUAUGGACCAAAUGAGGAGACGUGAGGUUUUAGUGAAAGCCCAACAAGAAGAAGCGGAACUUUUAGCACAAAAGUUAGCCGAACGGCUUAGAGAAAGUGAACAAAGAAGAAAAUUCUAUUUGGAACAAAUUAAGGAGCGGGCUUCAAUGGAUUUUAGGGAUCAAUCUUCGCCUUUAUUAAGGCGUGCGUUGAAGACCUCUAGUGGUGGUGAAGAUGACCAACAAACUGGCGGUGGUGUCGCCGUUGAAGGGACCGUGCUUCCUAAUUUAGCCCUACAACACUCGUUGAAAAAAAGGAUUAAAAAGAUUAGGCAAAGGCUUAUGGCUUUAAAAUAUGAGUUAAAUGAGCCUUUUAUGGGUGGGGAAAGCGGGAGUAUUGGGUAUCGAGCUGCUGUGGGGACCGCAAGGGCGAAAAUCGGGAGGUGGCUUCAGGAGCUUCAACGACACAGGCAAGCAAGAAAAGAAGGGGCAGCAAGUAUCGGGCUUGUUACCGGUGAUAUAAUUAAGUUUUUGGACGGAAAAGACCCCGAACUGCAUGCUUCUCGCCAAGCGGGUCUUCUAGAUUUUGUUGCAUCGGCUCUGCCAGCUUCACACACAUCCAAACCCGAAGCCUCGCAAGUAACAGUAUACUUCUUGAGACUUCUAAGGGCAAUACUGUCAUUACCCACAAACAGGAGUUACUUCCUUGCACAAAAUCUUCUACCACCAAUGAUACCCAUGUUGGCAGCCGCCCUCGAAAACUUCAUCAAAAUCACAGCAUCAUCUUCAAACACUAGCGGCGGUAAAACCCUAAUCGAAAACUCCGAUACCAUAUCCGAAGUUUUAGACGGGUCGUUGUGGACCGUGGCAGCCAUUAUCGGCCAUUCGAGCUCCGAUGAACGCCAAAACCAAAUGCAGGAUGGUUUAAUCGAGCUCGUGAUUGCAUAUCAAGUUGUUCAUAGAUUACGAGAUCUUUUCGCACUUUACGACAGGCCGCAAGUAGAAGGCUCUCCUUUCCCUUCAUCCAUUCUGUUAAGUAUCAACGUGUUGGUAAUUUUGACUUCUAGAUAUAGGGUCAACACGACAAUCGAUUGGGAAUCUUAUCCACUUGAAACGAUGACGAAAAAAGAAACUUCGUUAUCGAUUUCAACUGGAAAUUCGGAAUCAUCGUCCAAGUUGUUGCAAGACGUGCCCGAGGAUCGUCCGUUGGAUGAUAUACGUAAGGAUGAGAAUAGUAAUAUGGUGGAUAGUGGCGGAGAACAAAAGAAUUUAAAUAAAUCGCCACAUAAGCAGCCUGUGGCUUAUCUUCUUUCGGCUAUAUCGGAAACGGGAUUGGUCUGUCUUCCGUCUUUGUUGACAGCUGUAUUGUUGCAAGCGAACAACAGAUUGUCCUCGGAACAAGGUUCAUAUGUUCUUCCAAGUAAUUUUGAGGAAGUAGCAACUGGAGUGCUGAAGGUUUUGAACAAUUUAGCGUUGAUUGAUAUUAACUUCAUCCAAAUGAUGCUAGCGAGGCCCGACCUAAAAAUGGAAUUUUUUCAUCUGAUGAGUUAUCUUCUUUCUCAUUGCACCAGCAAGUGGGGAGCCGCUACUGAUCAGUCUGUUCAGGUGGAGAUCCAAACGGCGUUCUGAAUAUUUUUAACGUAGGUUUAAACACGUGCCUGAUAUCUUUCAUGUUUCAGACUGGUUUGCUUCUGCUUGAAUCCUUGUUGCUUCUCGGAUACUUUGCCAUGUUCCAUCCAGAAAAUCAAGCCGUUCUUCGCUGGGGGAAGAGCCCCACGAUUCUUCACAAGGUAUGCGAUCUCCCAUUCGUGUUCUUCAGUGACCCUGAGUUAAUGCCGGUCUUGGCUGGAACGCUAGUAGCCGUAUGCUUCGGAAGUGAGCAGAACAAAGGGGUGGUCCAGCAAGAACUCAGCAUCGAGAUGCUCGUUUCCUUGCUCGGAUCCUGCAAAAGUGGAUUACCAAAGUCCCAACCGGUUGACGAGCUCACUGAGUCAACUCAGUUGGGUGUGGAUUCAAGAAAACUUCAUGGUGACGCCACCUCUCAAAGAUCAAACCGAAGAAAGUUGGGAAAAAGUGGUGCGGUCGGGAACAUCAAUAGAAUUGUGAAGAUUAAGAAUCAGAAAGAUGGCGGUAAAUCAACGAGGGUUUGUGAACCGAGUUCAGAAAGUUGCUCCAAUUUUAUGCUUUAUUCGAGAUUUCCUGCAAGCUUUAUUGAUAGGGCAGAAUUGUUCUUUUCAACAGAAUCACAGGUUUAUAUGUAAAAGAAUUUUUUUAAAACCAUUUAUGAGAUCAAA